rnacentral:rRNA from 1 species
CAUGAACCGCAAAGUUGGAACCACCUGAUCCCUUCCCGAACUCAGAAGUGAAACGACGCAUCGCCGAUGGUAGUGUGGGGUCUCCCCAUGUGAGAGUAGGUCAUCGUCAAGC